rnacentral:rRNA from 1 species
UACGUAGGGGGCUAGCGUUGUCCGGAUUUACUGGGCGUAAAGGGCGUGCAGGCGGUUUGUUAAGUGCAGGGUGAAAGCUCCCGGCUCAACUGGGAGAGGUCCUUGCAUACUGGCGAACUCGAGGGAGGCAGAGGAAAGUGGAAUUCCCGGUGUAGUGGUGAUAUGCGUAGAUAUCGGGAGGAACACCUGUGGCGAAGGCGGCUUUCUGGGCCUUACCUGACGCUGAGACGCGAAAGCGUGGGGAGCGAACCGG